AUUUUUCUAUUGUCUGGCAGCACCCACUAUUGUUUUUGUGCUUCCUAUUCACAUCAUUUUUCUUAAAUUUUCUUAUUUGUUGAUGAAUUUUCUUUGCCUAGUUAGUAUAAAAAAGAUCUGAAUAUCAUCAUAAUAUAAAUAUAAAUGCUGCACAAAAUGCUAAAAAGUAGUAAUUUAGAAAGUAUUAGAAAUGUCGUGGAGGCGGGAGGACAGCAACCGAGCAACGCAGGUGAUUUGCAACAAGUGCCCGCAACGCUGCAAAACAACAACAGCUUCACUGCAGAUGUGACAAUAACGCAAGUGAAUAGUGACACCAACACGUCGUCAACUAAUGACAAUGGCAAACUCAAUAACAACGAAGACUACAAUGCCACGCGAACAACAAAUACAACCGAAGAACCGCCCGACUCGUUGACUACCAAGCAGUUGGCCACAGGUCUGUUGCAAAUAUUUGAGCCACCGCUAGCAAAAGCGCGCGGCCAAUUAAAGGAACUCAUUGGUAAACAGAAUAAAAUCUACAUAGAUUUAUCGGCGGAGAAAUUCAAAUUGGAUAACGCUGAGACGGCAAAGCUGCACGAAAUGAUGAACAAUGUGAAAACUUAUCGAGAAAAGUUGGUUAAGAUUAAAAAGCAAAUGCAAAGAAUUUAUCAGCGCACUAAAAUACUGAAGAAACGCGCACUCAACGUACAGGCCUGCAAACAGAAAGAACUUCAACGCAAAGUGCAGAAACAACAACAAGAAGAGGCCUUAAUUGCCAAACAGCAACAAACACAAGCUGCGACGAAAUCGGAGUGAGGCCGCGAACAACAGAAGUCAACGAAAACCUUCUGGGAAUUUUUGUAUGUAACCUUGUGUUAGAAAAAUAUAUACAUAUUACAAAGACUUGCAUAUUAUUUUAGUUAAAAAGUUUUUGUGACCAGUGAAAAAAUUUGUGCACAAUACUCAAAUGCUUUGGUGUUGCAGCAACAAAUGGUUGUAGUAAGAGUAUCGAACAAAAUUAUUUAGCAAUUGAAAUUAAUAAUUAUGUUUAGAGACUUAAUGGUAGAAAGUAUUAAAUAUUACAAACAUAUAUAUGUAUUUAGCGGCUUCAAGCCAGAUGCAUAUAUUGAAAACAAAGUUUUUUUUGUAAAUAGCAAAAACUAUUUCAACUGACAGUACAUUCAAUAAAACACUCAUGAAAAAUACUAGUUAAAA